rnacentral:misc_RNA from 1 species
GGGUUGUGGUGGGUGUGGGUGUGUGGUUUGAAAGUGAAUUUGUUGAAUGUUAGAUUAGGUUAAAAAAGCAUUGGCCAAGGUAUUGCGCGCGGAGAAGCAGUUUUGUUGGCUAAAGUCAAAAGUUUAGAAAGGUUGUGAUUGAAGGAGAUUCGCAAGUUGUCAUCAAAUGGCUAUCCACUUGUCCAGGGCAUUAUCUCGAAUAUCAUAUUGCUUUUUGUGGCCUUCGAUUCCAUAUCCUUCAACUUUGAUAAUAGGAAUUGUAAUCGGAUAGCUUAUUCUCUUGCCCCUAUUGCUCUUAUGGACUUGUCAUUCUUAUGCAACGCCUUGGGAGCAUGUGUUGUUUGCUUCAAUGCUUUCGACUUAACUUCUAAGUCGUUGCUAUUGUUUGGUUAUGAUUAAUUAA